rnacentral:rRNA from 1 species
AAACGUAGGGGGACAAGCGUUAUCCGGAUUUACUGGGCGUAAAGCGCCCGUAGGCGGCCUGACAAGUUUGGACGUGAAAGCUCCUGGCUUAACUGGGAGAGGCCGUUCAAAAACUGUCAAGCUAGAGUCUGGAAGAGGAGAGCGGAAUUCCCGGUGUAGUGGUGGAAUGCGUAGAGAUCGGGAGGAACACCAGUGGCGAAAGCGGCUCUCUGGUCCAAAAACUGACGCUGAGGGGGCGAAAAGCGUGGGGGAGCGAACGGG